rnacentral:rRNA from 1 species
GAUGAACGCUGGCGGCGUGCUUAACACAUGCAAGUCGAGCGGUAAGGCCCCUUCGGGGGUACACGAGCGGCGAACGGGUGAGUAACACGUGAGGAACCUACCCCCCUCUCUGGGAGUAACUCCGGGAACCGGAGCUAAUACCGGAGUACUCCGGCGAGAUCGCAUGGUCUUGCCGGGAAAGCUCCGGUGGAGGGGGAGUGGCCUCGCGGCCCAUUAGCUGGUUGGUGGGGUAACGGCCUACCAAGGCGACGAUGGGUAGCCGAGCUGAGAGGCUGAUCGGCCGACACUGGGACUGAGACACGGCCCAGACUCCUACGGGAGGCAGCAU